rnacentral:rRNA from 1 species
UUAAGCCAUGCGAGUCGAACGAGUUUAGGCUCGUGGCGUACGGCCCAGUAACACGUGGAUAACCUACCCUUAGGACCGGGAUAACCUUGGGAAACUGAGGAUAAUACUGGAUAGGUAAUUAUUUCUGCAAUGGUUUUUUGUUUAAAUGUUUUUUCGCCUAAGGAUGGGUCUGCGGCCGAUUAGGUAGUUGGUUAGGUAAAGGCUUACCAAGCCGUUGAUCGGUACGGGUUGUGAGAGCAAGAGCCCGGAGAUGGAACCUGAGACAAGGUUCCAGGCCCUACGGGGUGCAGCAGGCGCGAAACCUCCGCAAUGUGAGAAAUCGCGACGGGGGGAUCCCAAGUGCCAUUCUUAACGGGAUGGCUUUUCAUUAGUGUAAAGAGCUUUUGGAAUAAGGGCUGGGCAAGACCGGUGCCAGCCGCCGCGGUAA